UUGGGCAACCUGCCCUGUACUGUGGAAUAAUCAUUGGAAACGAAUGACUAAUACCGCAUGUGGUCCUCGGAAGGCAUCUUCUGAGGAAGAAAGGAUUUAUUCGGUACAGGAUGGGCCCGCAUCUGAUUAGCUAGUUGGUGAGAUAACAGCCCACCAAGGCGACGAUCAGUAGCCGACCUGAGAGGGUGAUCGGCCACAUUGGGACUGAGACACGGCCCAA
rnacentral:rRNA from 1 species